UUUAUAUAAUCCGGUGAUAAACCAUUUCUUACCUUCGCCUAAUUUGCCGCGUGAAAAAUAGCUCUAUUAUUACCACCUUUUCUCUCCAAUUCUCACUUCUAGUUUCAUCCAUGGAUCUUCGAGAUCUCAAUUUCGUUCCACCUGAUCCUGAAUCGAAUAAGGUCUCAGUGGAUCUACUGAUGAAUCGAUGAUCGUUUUUCCAUGUGUUGGAGAUACUGAUGGGAGAUUUGUGUUGAAUCAGAGCAAUUACCACGAUAUUAGUUGUUAAUAAUUUCAGUUUAUGGUAACAAUCCUUUAGAUGUUGUUAUAUUUUGUAUAACUUUCGAAUUCAAUCGGUGAGAUCGGAAGUUUUUGGUUGAGAGAGAGAGAGAGAGAGAGGAAGGUGCUAUUUGUUGAAUUCCUGUGAGAUUUGUGAAUGGAUCUUUGCCAUGUCAGGUGCGCUUGCUUGGCAGAUCCGAAAAAGCUUAAUAAAAUUGCAGUUAUUUUGUUUUGAGAGGGAAGAGAGAGAUAGGUUUGGGGAUAGUUUUUUUCUCCGCCUCUCUAUCUUUUCCCUCUGUUGUGUGUGUGUCUUGCCUCUUGCAUCUCUUUUUUUCUGUUCUGUUACUUUUCGUUACUCUACCAUUAUGCACGAUGCGUACACUACUAAUUACAAGAGUUAUAAUUAACUAAACCUAAUUCAACAAUCAAUCGGCAACAUGUUGAGGUAUGGCUGCAAUUCAACUUUACGAUACACUUCAUUGUGUUUAAGAUAGACAUGUGCAAUGUUUUCAUCAGUAAGUUAUUUUAUUUUAUUAUUUAUAUUUACCUUUGUCCCUAUUUAUAAAAAUGUCAAAUUUUGUUGUCCAUUUUAUAAGACCCUCUUCAAAUAUUAAGUUUACAAGAUUCAUCAAUUCUCUCUCUUAAUAAUUGAAGGAUAAUUUUGAGAAGAUUGUACAUUGUUUACUAAUUUAAUGCAAGAACAUUUUUUCAUAAUUCUUGUGCUUUUAUCAAAAGGGUCUUAUAAAUAUACGGACGGAUGUAGUUUCAUAUUUUUUGCUUUUUGUGAAUCAAUUUUGUACGGUUAAAUUCAAUUGACCAUGUCUGGAUUGUUUAAAUAAUAACAUGUCUGCAAAGUUUUCUACUAUAAAAAAAUGCAGUUGGUUUUGAGGGGUAACGGGUUCAAGUUUUCUGCAAAGUUUUCUACUGGUAAAGUUGUUGUCAUGUGACUGGAAGGUCACGGGUUCAAGUCCUGGAAAUAGCCUCUUGUGUAAAAAAUAGGGUAAGGCUGCGGACAAUACACCGAAUGGUGGGACCCCUUCCCGGUCCCUGCGUAUGCGGGAGCUUUAGUGCACCGAGUUGCCUUUUUUUUUUUUUUAUGCAUGCUACGAUUAGAUUCAAUAGAGAGUUAGAUUGCUCUCAGUUAGUGUCAAAUAGUGGCUAUUUUGGCACUAUUGCAUAGCAAAAUUUGAACAAAUCACUUCUGUCACAUAAUCCGCUGUUUAAAACAAAGUGUUGUCAAAUAGCCGCUAUUGUGGCGUUAUAGCAUAGUGAAAUUUGAGUAUUGCACUUGCAAUUGACAACUCUAUCAUAAGCUUUUCUUUGAUUCUGCACAGUCGAAUUGGUACUGAAUCAUUUAUCUUGCCGAUGAGGCAGCUAACUUAUUGGUGAAUACAAUAAAUUAAAACGCAAUGCAUAUAUUGUUGCCUCAUGACCACUUGAACUGUGAUACGUAUAAUCUCAACUUCUCAUUUGCCAAUUUUAUUUGAUAAUUUUCCAGUACAUAUCUACAUGGUUGUAAUCAUGUCUGAUAUCCGUAUUCAUUCAAUACUAUAUAUAACUGUCAACAUAAAAUGGCUGUUGGACUGUAUGGUUGACAUUUUGCGUCUGUUAUAAGCUGUUUGUUGGACUUGUAAUUGGGUUUCCUUUGGAUGUGUGGAAUUUUAUUGUACGAUCCAUUUGUAUAAUAUGCCAAGGAGCUUACUAGCUGAAGAGUGCAGAUUUUUUGUAAAAAACUCUGUCCAGUGUAUCUUCAAAGCUCUUGAUGUAGUUUCUACUAUUGAUCAACAAUUUCAAGUUAUGCACUCUUUUUAAGCAUUGUGCGACCUGUAAUAGAUCUUGUAGCGUAAAAUGUGAAGACCUGAUUGCUGCUAGAGGAUGAAGGUUUCAGGACUGGUCUGCUCAACUUGUCCGACAGUUUUCUGAAGCAAAGAAGGUCAUUCGAUGCUUUUGUUGGAGAAUUUGUUGGCGGUAUAUGUUCGUGUGAAAUUUCAAUUGGUGAGAUCAGGAGUCGUGUUUGCGUGAGAUGCAUGUAAUGUGAGUGUGAAGUAUAUACACAACACAAGGUAUCUGUGUUAAAUGGAUCUUCGCCAUGCCAGGCGUGCUUGCGUGGCAGGUCCUAAAAAUCUGAAUUGUUUUUUAUUUGUUGGCUGUAUAUUGUUCUUGUGAAUUUCAAUUGGUGGGAUCAGAAGUCGAGGUUGCGUGAGAUACAUGUAAUGUGAGUGUGAAGUAUAUACACAACAGCACAAGGUAUCUGUGUUAAAUGGAUCUUUGCCAUGUCAGGUGCGCUUGCAUGGCAGGUCCGAAAAAUCUUAAUGAAGUUACAGUUAUUUUGUUUUGAGA